rnacentral:rRNA from 1 species
GACGAACGCUGGCGGCAUGCCUUACACAUGCAAGUCGAACGGUAACAGGUCUUCGGAUGCUGACGAGUGGCGAACGGGUGAGUAAUACAUCGGAACGUGCCCGAUCGUGGGGGAUAACGGAGCGAAAGCUUUGCUAAUACCGCAUACGAUCUACGGAUGAAAGCAGGGGACCGCAAGGCCUUGCGCGGACGGAGCGGCCGAUGGCAGAUUAGGUAGUUGGUGGGAUAAAAGCUUACCAAGCCGACGAUCUGUGGCUGGUCUGAGAGGACGACCGGCCACACUGGGACUGAGACACGGCCCAGACUCCUACGGGAGGCAGCAGUGGGGAAUUUUGGACAAUGGGCGCAAGCCUGAUCCAGCCAUGCCGCGUGCAGGAUGAAGGCCUUCGGGUUGUAAACUGCUUUUGUACGGAACGAAAAGACUCUUUCUAAUAAAGAGGGUCCAUGACGGUACCGUAAGAAUAAGCACCGGCUAACUACGUGACAGCCGCCGCGGUAA